UCAUACGCAAACGAGAGUCCAAGCCAGAAAUAAUACACAAAGUUACUACACGGAUCCCAAAACUCAAAUUUUGAAGAUAAAGUAGAACUCACUCAAGGUGUCGUCGUCAGCUUUUUCAUCCUCCGAGCUCUUGUUUUCUUUUCGUUUCUUCUUCUUUUUCUUCUUCUUCUUCGUGUUUGACGAGAUUGUAGUAUCGGGAGAAAUGUCAGUGAUGGUGUUUG
rnacentral:ribozyme from 12 species